CAAUGGAGAGUUUGAUCCUGGCUCAGGACGAACGCUGGCGGCGUGCUUAACACAUGCAAGUCAAGGAGAACGUUUUCUUCGGAAAACUAUUAAACUGGCGAACGGGUGAGUAACGCGUAGACAACCUACCUCAGAGACUGGGAUAACUCCGCGAAAGCGGGGCUAAUACCGGAUGAUGCAGCGGAUCCUUCGGGAUACAGUUGUUAAAGUGGGCUUCGGCUCGCACUUUGAGAUGGGUCUGCGUCCGA
rnacentral:rRNA from 1 species